AACCCGCUAUACCCUCGCGGUCAUCUUUAUUAUUCUUUUUAUAUACAUGCCACUAAACUAACCUUAAAACUACCGCCAUAACCCCCAAAAAACCCCCAGCAGUAAUCAAUAUUAGGCAAUAAUCGACAGAUCGACCUAGAAAAAAGAAACAAAACCGGCUAAUCUUGUGCCAGCAGCCGCGGUUAUACAAGAAAGUUUUAAUAAAGACACCCGGUAUAAAAAUGGCUAUUAAUAAACCCUUAAAAGAAACCGACUAGCAGUAAAAUGCUCAUCAGAAUUAAAACAAAAGGACAAACAAAACCAUCAAAGCCAAAACCCAAACCAGGACUAGAUACCCUGUUAUCUUUGGCCCCAACCAACUAAAAUACAAAACACACCAACCCAGUAAGUGCCCAGCACCAAAUGCAAAGAGUUUGGCGGUAUCUUAAACCCAAUUAGAGGGGCUUGUCUUUUAAACCGAUAACCCGCGCUUUACCUUACCCUUCCUUGUCCAUUCAGCCUGUAUACCCUCGUCGUCAGCACUCCUUACAAAAGUCAGACUACACAAUAGCCCUAACCACCGACGACAGAUCGAGGUGCAGCCUAUGAAAGGGGACUCGAUGAGCCACAACCCUAACAAAGCGACCCCACAACAUGAAAAUCACGCUAAAGUAGAAUUUAAUUGUAAUGAAAAAACCACAUUCUCAUGAAACAGGCCCUAAGAUAUACACACAUCGCCCGUCACUUCCCUUAAUAACCCCAUAUUAAUUAAAACAACCCAUAAACAAGGGAAUAAGUCGCAACACAGUAGGUGUACCGGAAGGUGCACCUGGAACACC
rnacentral:rRNA from 1 species